rnacentral:lncRNA from 1 species
GACCAAGAAGGGAGUUAUGGUGUUGGCUGGGAUGAUUGAUCGGGACUACUAAAUUGGAUACUCCACAAUGCUGGAAGAUCUCUGUGACUGCCUGGACAAAUAAGUACUGCAGAAGGGCUACUGUGUUAUUUAUGAGGCUGGAUCCUAAAAAUGCCAUGCACUUCCACCUUCUUCUCUUGGAAUGUUUAUUCUUGGAACCCAUCAGUCACGCUAUGAGAAAGCUCAGAUGAACCCCUGGAGAAAGCACCCGGAGAGGCCACGUGUAAGUUUUCCAUCUGAUAGCCCAGCUGAGGUGCGAAACAAUAUCCAGCUUCAAGUACCAAACAAGUGAAUGAUGAUACCGCCAGAUGAUUCUGUUGCUCAGCAAUCAAGUCACUCCAUACUUUGAGUCUUCUUAGCUGAGGCUCUAGACAUUGUGGAGAGAUAAAUUGUCCCUGCUGUGCUCUGUUCUGAUUACUGACUCACAGAAUCUAUGAGUAGAACCCAUUGGUUACUUUAUGCUACAAAGUUUUUGGGUGGUUUGUUACACAGCAAUAGAUAACUGAUAACAGUAUCUGAUCAUAUGAUCAUUUGGUAAUUCUUUCAUCAUUU